rnacentral:lncRNA from 1 species
CUGAAGGCCACUGGAGUACAGGCAGGUUUUGUCCUUGGCUUCAGCUCUGGAACCCGCAGUUUUGGUACCUGAUCAGUUACUAACUUUAGGCAGAAGCCUUUUGUGAUAACGUGACAGAGAGACCAGGUUCUUCCUCACACAGCUGUACGCUCUGUUUGCCGUUUCAGCACCCCUCCAUCAGAAUCCAGAGGGUUCUUAUAUAUUGUGUGUACCUGAUGGAGAUUGGAGCUCAUUCGAGUGAAAAAGCUGAAGUUGAUUCUAUUCAACUUAUUACGUGUUGCUCACUUUAUACUUUUUCUGGAGGAAGAGGAAAAGAACAACUGAUUGCCCUUGAUGCUGUGACUUACUCUACAAUUGUUUAAAUGGAACGCAUUUUGAAAAUCUAGUUUCUCCACACCGGCCUGGUGAGUGACUUGUGGUUCU